ACAUGCCUACAACAUAGCGUUAAUGCAGCGGAUCUCAUUAGAACUCCUUAGUUAAGUGAACUCAGGCUAGAGUAGUACUGGGAUGGGUGACCACUCAAGAAGUCCUAGUGUUUUACAUGCC
rnacentral:rRNA from 1 species